GAUGAACGCUAGCUACAGGCUUAACACAUGCAAGUCGAGGGGAAACGACAUCGAAAGCUUGCUUUUGAUGGGCGUCGACCGGCGCACGGGUGAGUAACGCGUAUCCAACCUGCCCAUCACUUGGGAAUAACCUUGCGAAAGUAAGACUAAUACCCAAUGACAUCCCACGAAGACAUCUGAAUGGGAUUAAAGAUUUAUCAGUGAUGGAUGGGGAUGCGUCUGAUUAGCUUGUUGGCGGGGUAACGGCCCACCAAGGCAACGAUCAGUAGGGGUUCUGAGAGGAAGGUCCCCCAAAUUGGAACUGAGACACGGUCCAAACUCCUACGGGAGGCAGCAGUGAGGAAUAUUGGUCAAUGGGCGAGAGCCUGAACCAGCCAAGUAGCGUGCAGGAUGACGGCCCUAUGGGUUGUAAACUGCUUUUAUAAGGGAAUAAAGUGGGUCUCGUGAGACUUUUUGCAUGUACCUUAUGAAUAAGGACCGGCUAAUUCCGUG
rnacentral:rRNA from 1 species